AAAGAAGAGUGGCGAACGGGUGAGUAACACGUGGGUAACCUGCCCAUCAGAAGGGGAUAACACUUGGAAACAGGUGCUAAUACCGUAUAACAAUCGAAACCGCAUGGUUUUGAUUUGAAAGGCGCUUUCGGGUGUCGCUGAUGGAUGGACCCGCGGUGCAUUAGCUAGUUGGUGAGGUAACGGCUCACCAAGGCCACGAUGCAUAGCCGACCUGAGAGGGUGAUCGGCCACAUUGGGACUGAGACACGGCCCAAACUCCUACGGGAGGCAGCAGUAGGGAAUCUUCGGCAAUGGACGAAAGUCUGACCGAGCAACGCCGCGUGAGUGAAGAAGGUUUUCGGAUCGUAAAACUCUGUUGUUAGAGAAGAACAAGGAUGAGAGUAACUGUUCAUCCCUUGACGGUAUCUAACCAGAAAGCCACGGCUAACUACGUGCCAGCAGCCGCGGUAAUACGUAGGUGGCAAGCGUUGUCCGGAUUUAUUGGGCGUAAAGCGAGCGCAGGCGGUUUCUUAAGUCUGAUGUGAAAGCCCCCGGCUCAACCGGGGAGGGUCAUUGGAAACUGGGAGACUUGAGUGCAGAAGAGGAGAGUGGAAUUCCAUGUGUAGCGGUGAAAUGCGUAGAUAUAUGGAGGAACACCAGUGGCGAAGGCGGCUCUCUGGUCUGUAACUGACGCUGAGGCUCGAAAGCGUGGGGAGCAAACAGGAUUAGAUACCCUGGUAGUCCACGCCGUAAACGAUGAGUGCUAAGUGUUGGAGGGUUUCCGCCCUUCAGUGCUGCAGCUAACGCAUUAAGCACUCCGCCUGGGGAGUACGACCGCAAGGUUGAAACUCAAAGGAAUUGACGGGGGCCCGCACAAGCGGUGGAGCAUGUGGUUUAAUUCGAAGCAACGCGA
rnacentral:rRNA from 1 species